UCCUAUGAGCGGAGGCUUCUGCAGACCUGGGGCCAAUGUGAGAGGCUGGAGGAAGAAGCUGAAGCGAAGAUGCAGGAGUGCUUGCAGGACCCAGACUAGAGGCUGUGGACCACAUAGCAGGGCAAUCAGCUUUACAGACACUGCACUCUCUCUCUGGGAGUAAGCAAAAAAAAGAAAAAUCUCUCCAGAAAGUAUGAAGAAACUGAUUAGAGGGAAAGACAACCACAGUGAGAAAGGCAUGAGUGGAAGGUGCACUUACUUCUCACUAUACGUCCUUCAGCAAAUUUUCACUAUAACUCUGGAGCAGGAGGGGAUGAGUAUUCUCUGAGGAAGAGGUUUACCUGGCAGAGGUGCACGUCAGCAAGCAUGCUGGGCAGGUGGGCAUCCACUCUGUCACCCUGCCUUCUCUGCCUCUCUUUUGCCCCACUUGCCUGCCUACCCAGUGUCUCCUGCUUUUGUCCUCAUUUCACCUCCUGCCACGUGCUUGGCUAUUUCUUCAGCUUACCAGACCAGGUCCAGACCAUCUUCUCAAUGAUCCACCGCGGCAGAAACCUGCUGAGACCAACAUCCUUUCCAAGGAGAGGCUCAAAUGAUUGGGAAACACGUUACACUCUAUUGGGCAGAUUUGGUUCCAAAAGACUUAGAGAAUAUUAUUUCCGGUGGGGCUGGCGGGUGUUAAAAACAAGGCUGCUAUAAUGCAGGCACCAAAUUACUGCAAUAUUAGAGCUGUUCUGAA